rnacentral:lncRNA from 1 species
CUCCUAAGAGGCUGAGAUGCCGUCAGCACCAACCAGGGUAGGGUUUACUCUGCAAACGCUCCACAAAGACUUUUCCUAAAGUAAGCUCUCUGAUUUUCAGACUUACCAGAGAACUGCUACUCACUCCAAGGAUGAUAAACGCAUGUCACUCGUUCCGUGAUACACUCCAACCUGCAGCAAAUAGUACGAAGGGAACCAGCUGCAAAGCUAAGGAUCAACUGAAACGCAGUCUGCUGCGCGAUCACGGUCAGGGUCCGCCUCCUCCUCCAUUCAUGAUACAUCAUUCGCACUGUGUGUUCAUUUCCACUGAAGCUUCUGGUUGGAGGAAUAUGUUAAACCUGUGGUCUGAGAGAAAAGGUAAUUCUAGAGAGAUUUAUAUGAUGAACUUUGCAUGUCACCAGAAUGCAAAAGAAGUAAGAAUCAACCCUAACAUGCACCAAAAAAAAAAAAAAAAAAGACAUGACACAGUGUGUCUUGUUUUGAUAACAUCAAGCAUAAUAUUUUAAAAGAUUAGAAAAAAAAUACAACCAGGAGUAUGUUAGAGGCAUUGAGUUAAGGCUGUCAUGUGUAUCAUAAGGAAAUUUCUUAGUAAAUGAGAAAUUCUUCACAUAGCUUGCCGUGUCCUUACCAGCCAACCAGAGAAUUAAACUGCUAUUCGUGCUUAGCAAAGUUCAACAGGGCAGUUACUGGGGUCAAAUUUUCCAGGACCUUUGAAGCUAAUUAGUAUGAAUUCAAAGGUUAUUCUCUGGAACUCUAAGGAAGUUGCUGACU